UUCCCCUGAAUUCCUCAUACCCACCUUUGUCAUACAUUCCCAGGACUUCAACCAUUAAGAGCUAUAUGCGGGGUGCCUGGGUGGCUCAGUCAGUUAAGCAUCUGAAUCUUGAUUUCAGCUCAAGUCAUGAUCUCACAGCUUGUGGGAUCUAGACCCACGUAAGGCUCUGCACUGUCAGCAUGGGAGGAUUCUCUCUCUCCCUCUCUUUUUUCCCCUCCCCACCCUCUCAAAAUACGUGAAAUAAACUUUAAAAAAAAAAGAACCAUAUGAAUCACUUUCCAUAGAUACCCUUAUUUACUUAAACAAUUUGAUUGAAAAACCAUUCUUGCUAAAUUUAGCUUGAAUCUGAAGUUUGAAAACAUAGUUUUAGAUGUUUAGGGUAUUAGAGGGUUUUGGUGAAAUCUUUGUAAGACUAUAGCUCAUCAUAGCAAAUAAAUUUUAUCUAUUUGAAGAUAUUUUACAUUUUAGUAUGGAUUUUUCUAGAUGACUUAUAGAGAAUGGCCUUUUAUAUAUUCAUUUAUCUAUAUGGCUAAACUAUUGUCAAUAUUCAUCUCCAUAUAAUUUUUUCUUGUUUUCUAAUUCUUUGCUCUCAUCUCCUUCUUUAGUCUUGGGGGAAAAAAAUGACCUAGAGCAUGUCAUUUAUUACUUAUUCUUAAAGACAACAUAGCCUUUUGACACUUCUAUUUUCUAGCGUGCCUUCCUGGAUUUUAUGGUUUGGAUUGUGCUCACAUCUGUGACUGCAAAAACGGAGCCAGUUGUGAUGCAGUGAAUGGACAGUGCAUUUGCCCAGCAGGUUUCCAUGGCAGCCAGUGUGAAAAAGGUGAAAAAUCAUCAGUGUUUUCACAGCUCCUGAUAUCAUUUGCCAGUCUCCUCUGAAAGUGUCCCAGAUUCACAGAGGAGGAUAAAUAUGAAGAAAGGGCAGUGUUGGAUCCUACACAAGGAUAUAAAACCCUCCAUGUGACAAUGAAAGGGGUUAAAUCAUCUUGUGAUCCAGUAAAAAAUUUCCUUCAUACUUGGGAAUCAAUUUUCAUGCUCUUGGCAAAAAUCAACUCAAAAUUGAUGACAGAUUUGAAUGUAAGACCUGAAACCAUAGAACUCCUAAAAGAAAACAUGAGGCGGCAUUAACUGUCUUUUAAAUCAAAAUGAAAUGUGUACUUGGCAACUUCUGACUCAAGCAUUUGGUUCCCCAUAAAUCCUGGAAAUGACAUAGUGUGCACUUCACCUCUGGCACACCUCUUCAAAAACCAGAGUUAUGCAAGGAGGAACACUUGAGAACCAGGGAGCCCUAGCCCUCAAAGCCUUCCCAAGUUCUGGGAAGCAGUGGCAUGUUGAAAAUGACAGAAACAAAUCUGCUUAAUCACCUGGUAUUGAGAGGGAGAGAGAGAAAAAGAAGAGAGAGAAAGGUCGUGUGUGUGUGUGUGUGUGUGUGUGUGUGUGUGUGUGUGUGUGUGUUUGAGUACGCCAAAAAAAGAACCAAGCUGAGUUUCACUUCCUAGCAGUCUUAAGCAAUAAUUUCCUGGAGUUCAAUGUUGUUUACACUUUUAAUGAUAAUCCAUGAUUUUCAAUUCUGAUUUUAUUAGAAUCCUGUUUCUCACCUUCUUUGUCCUAACCAACUUUUCCAUCCAGUUAUGCAAUUACAAAUUCUCUUCUCCAAACUGUUGUCUCAUCCAAUUAAAAAAAAAAAAAAAAAAAAAAAAGGAAAACGUUCACUUUUUCCUGACUCUCAAUCUUCUUCCUAACACAGACGCAAAAUAAUUGGGCACACUAUCUGUCACCCGUUGCAACAGUUAGAGUUCCAUUAUAUUUGAUACUUUCAAUGAUCCCAUCAGAUAAGAAAAGCAUUAUUCCCUGAUUUAGAGAGAAAACUUAGGCACAAAGGUUAAGAAUUUUCCAUUGCUGGAGUGACUAGGUGGCUCAGUUAGUUAAGGGUCUGACUUUGGCUUGGGUCAUGAUCUCCCAGUUCCUGAGUUCAAGGCUGUCAGCGCAGAGCCUGCGUGGGAUUCGCUCUCCCUCCCUCUCUUUCUCUGCCCCUCCCCCACUAAAUAAAUAGAUAAACUUAAAAAAUAAAGGUAUUGUCAUUGCUCUAGCUAUCCAUGUGCAUUAGAGGUCAGGAGUCCUCAUUCCUAAUAAGAUUGUAAUGAUAAUCAAAGCUGCUAUAAAUUAGCAGUGUACCGGGAACUACAGUCAGUGCUUUGCAUACUGUUUUUAUUUGAAUCCUCAGAAAAUACUAUAAGGUAGACACUAGAACUCUCACCAGAAAGAUAGCGCGACCUUCAAAAGAUCACACAGCUAGUAAGCUCAGAAGCCAGGAACAAACCUAAAUUCGCCUAAUUCACAAACCGCUAUGUAAUCUCUGUGCUCUUGAGUUGCCCCUCCCCCAUACUUCCGGCCCGCAGGCUAAUGCAAGGACUGUAGGAGUCAUCAGAAGUAGCAUUGCUGACCUUCUCUUGAUAAAUAUGUAUUUUUUAAAUUUCCCUGAAUUUUUAUAAUAUGACUGUGGGAGAAAUAAGAGCUGAUAGUGCACAUUGCUAACCAAAACAAGGGUCUGGUGACUUCACCCACAUCUGGAGAAGAGAAAAACAAGGCCACAAGAACCAGUUUGGAGAAUGAGAUCAAUGGGCAUAUGAUUCCUGGGUAAGUGGAGAUUUCUGCUCUGUAUUCUGUUCCCCACUGAAAAGAACCCAGUGCAAGUGCCUAUUACCAUCAUGUAAGGAUAGAAAACUGGUAUGUUCUCAACGCUACUUCUCAUGUUAAUGUCAUUUGCCAUCUUCCCCUCACAUGUCAAAAGACUUACAUGAAGCUUCCUUGGGUAGCUCAGUCAGUUAAGUGUCAGACUGGAUUUCAGGUCAGGUCUGAUCUCACAGCUUGUGAGUUCGAGCCCCACAUUGGGAUCCCUGUUUGAGAUUCUUUCUUUCCCUCUCUCUCUCUGCCCUUCCCCUGCUUGCACUCUCUCUCUCAAAAUAAAUAAAUAAAAACUUAAAAAAAAAAGAUUUAUGUGAGAGGAAGAGAGCUCCCAACCUGGCUAAAGAUUAGUAUUUUCUGUCAUCAUGAUCUUGUCAAAACAACUGUCUUGGAGUCGUAAUUUUUAAAAGCCAGCUUACUUGUAAUUUAAUCCUUUCAGAGGAGUCCUCUUUCCUUCCCAGCGUUGAUUCCAGACCACGGGCAGUUGUUCACAGGUUUCCUUCUUCAAACACAUCUCUUCCUGCAUUCAGGUGGAAGUAGAAUACCAUCUCAUCUCACAAACGAUGCCCAGAGCACAAUUUCCCAGAAGGCUGGGCAUCCUCCAUGAAGUGUUCUUGCCAUUCCCUUCAUAAUAUACAUAUAAAAUAUUUUAAAAUUUUGAUUAAUGCAGACGUGAAACCUUAGGUCAGACACCAAGGCACCUUUAGUCAGCAAAGAUGACUUUGUCGUCAUCAGGGUGACAGGUCUAAGAAAGUGGCAGCAAAAUGCUACAUUUUUUAAGUAAUGGGGUAUAGCUGACAUGUAAGAAAAAAGUUGGACACAUUUAAUGUAUACAACUCGAUAAGUUUAGGAAUGUAAACACAAACCAUCACCAAGGCCAUAGAUAGACAUGUCCAUCACUCCUGAAGCUUCCUCCAACCUCUGUAUAAUUAAUACCACUUAGUGCGGUAUGGAAAAAAAAAACAUUUAACAUAAGAUUUAUCUUCUUAGAAAAUUGUAAGUGUUGCUAUGAUCUGAAUAUUUCUGUCCCCUUCCUUAAAUCCAUAUGUUGAAAUCCUAAUGCCUAAUGUGAUGGUAUUAGGAGGUAGGCCUUGGGGACGGACCAGAUCAUGAGGGUGGAGCCAUAAUGAGUACGAUUACUGCUGUUAGGAAAGAGACCCUACAUUGCUCUCUAGCCCCUUCUAUAAUGUGAAGACAGGGCAUGAAGGCCCCAGUUGUAAAUCAAGAAGAGGGCCCUCGCCAGAAUGCAGCCAUGCUGACAACUCGAUCUUGAACUUCCCAGCCUCCAACUGAGAGAAAUAUAUUUCUAUUCUUAUAAAUUAGUCUGUGGCAUUUUGCUAUAGCAGCCCAAAUAGACUAAGACAAGUGUACAUACAGUAGCUGGAGGCACUGUGUUGUGUAAUAACCCUUCAGAAUUUGUCUUACAUAACUAAAACUCUGUACCCUUUGACCAUCCCCUCCUGUGUUCCCCCUCCUUCUAGUCCCUGGAAAUCACCAUAUGCCGUUUUCUUCUAUGAGUUUGGCUGUUUAAAAUUCUAUACCUGAAUGAUAUCAUUUAGUAGUUGUCUUUCUUUAUCUGGCUUAUUUCACUUAGCAGGUUCAUCCGUAUUGUCUCAAAGGGCAGGAUUUGCUUUCUUUUUCUUAAGGCCGAAUAAUAUUCCACUCUCUCUAUGUAUACUGCAUUUUUUUUAUUCAUUCAUCCAUCAAUUAAUAGACCCUUAGUUUGUUUCUGUAUCUUGACUGUUGUGAAUAAUGCUGCAAUGAACAUGGAGGUAUAGUUAUCUCUACAAGGUGAUGAUUUCAGUUCUUUUGGAAAAAUACCCAGAUGUGGGAUUGCCAGAUCAUAUGGUAGUUUUAUUUUUAAUUUCUUGAGGAACCUCAAUAUUAUUUUCCAUGAUGGCUGUACCCAUUUGCAUUCCCACCAGCUCUGCACCAGUGUCCUCUUUUCUCCACAUUUCUCCACAUUUCAUCAGCACUUGUUAUCUUUACCUUUGUGGGUUUUUUUGAAAUUUAUUUUUAUUUAUUUAUUUUUUAGUGUUUAUUUAUUUUUGAGAGAGAGACAGGGUGUGAGCAGGGGAGGGGCAGAGAGAGAGGGAGACACAGAAUCUGAAGGAGUCUCCAGGCUCUGAGCUGUCAGCAUGGAGCCCCACGUGGGGCUUGAACUCACGAACCAUGAGAUCAUGACCUGUUGUGAAGUCGGGUGCUUACCCAACUGAGCCACCCAGGUGCCCUGUUUUUUUUUUUGUUUUUUUUUUAAUAGCCAUUUUAACAGGUGAUAUGUUGUUGUGGUUUUGAUUUACAUUUGCCUGAUGAUUAGUGAUGUUGAGGACUUUUCAUGUACCUAUUUACCAUUUAUGUCUUCUUUAGAGAAAUGUUAAUUUGUUGACACAAAAUCAUAGGAUUGCCUUAUUCUCCUUUGUUUCUGUGGAAUCAGUUGAAUGUCUUCUGUUUCACUGAUCAUUUUAUUUAUAUAUGUCUUGUGUCUUUUUUUAUUUAGUUAGUUAAGAGUUUGCCAAAUUGUUUAUCUUAUUAACAGAGAAUUUCAAAUUCUCUGUCUUUGAGCACACUUAUUCUUUCUUCUUGACUGAGUCUUCUAUUGAACCCUCUACUGAAUUUUUCAUUGCAAUCAUUAUAUGCUUCAGCUCCAGAAUUUGUUUCAUUACUUUUAUGAUUUCUAUUUCCUUAUUGAACUUCACUUUUUUUUUUUUCAUGUAUAGUUUCCUGAUGUCAUUUAGUUGUCCAUCUGUGUUCUCUUGAGCUUCCUUAAGCCAAUUAUAUUGAAUUCUUUUUCAGGCAGGUCAUAGGUCCCCUUUUACUUAGAGUAAGUUAUUGUUUGGUUCCUUUGAUAGUGCUAUGUUUAUCUGAUUAUUUGUGAUUUUUGUUACCUUGCAUUGAUAUCUGUAUAUGUGAAGAAAUAGUCACCUUUUCUAGUUGCUAUAGAUUGGCUUCAGCAGGGAAAGGAAGGAAGGCCUGCUUCCAGAGCCCAUGAACAAGUAAGCCUGGUACGUGGGUCCAUGGGAUCUAGCUUCUCCCCAUGGGCCCAUGUACCAGGUCCUUGGGGACCCAGGUUUCAGGGCCAAACCUGACACUGGAAUGGGUCUGGAGCUUGUGUCCACAGAGACCAGACUGGAGCAGGGAUAAACCUGGAGCCUGGGUUUGUGGGUCCUGUACUUUUGUAAAUCUAAAUUUUGGAGAGAAUUUCAAAGAGAAUAAUUUAAAAAUUAGAUAAUCAAACGGCAUAGCUGCCGAAAUCUAUAAUGACUAUCCCCUCUAUCAUGUUAGGAGCAUGCUGUGAUAUAACAUCUGAGUAUUUAGUGUAUUAUUUAUGCAUAUAUCUUUCUUAUUAAAUGGAGAGCUAUUUCAAAGAUCAGCUUUUUUGAAGUAUCAUUUACGUGCAAUAAAAUACACCCACUUAAGGGUAUACCUGUGUAUGACUUUCCCUGAAAAUAUAUACAUCUGUGUAAUCACCUCUGCAAUGAAGAUUUGAAACAUUUCUAUUAUCCCAAAAAUAUUUUCUUGUACCUUCUCAGUGAAUCUUGAUAGUACUCCCAGACCUAGACAACCACUAACCCAGUUUCUAUAAUUAUGAAUUAAAACUUUAUAGGGGCGCCUGGGUGGCGCAGUCGGUUAAGCGUCCGACUUCAGCCAGGUCACGAUCUCGCGGUCCGUGAGUUCGAGCCCCGCGUCAGGCUCUGGGCUGAUGGCUCAGAGCCUGGAGCCUGUUUCCGAUUCUGUGUCUCCCUCUCUCUCUGCCCCUCCCCCGUUCAUGCUCUGUCUCUCUCUGUCCCAAAAGUAAAUAAAUGUUGAAAAAAAAAAA